AAUGCCAAGCAAGUAACUAUGAAACAAAUGCAGCAACCAAUCCGAAAUCCCAUUCGAAACCCUACUGUCCUACAUGGACUUUGUUAAAACUAAGGGAGGGUCCUUAAGCCAUAAUCAAUGUAGAUCUCAAUCAUCUCAUGUCGACAUUCUGAAAAAACAUCAACAUCAGGGCAAAGCAGGAGGGGCCCUGAGACGUACUUGUGCACUAUGGACCUAUCAUAGAGUCAGGCCGAAAGAUCAAACCAAAAUCCAGUCCAAGGAAGACACCAAGAGGCGAUCAAUCCAGCGCAGCCAGGAAGGGCGCCAUGGAGUCGACAAAUCCAGCCACUAGCACACUUGUAGCCGAUCAAUCCAGUGAAGAUGGGGAAGGCACUUGAGACAAGAAAGACAAAAACGGGAAAAGGCCGAGAUGUUGUGACUACAGCCGCCUCUGCUACCCUCCCCGUGUCGGAGGUCGGAUCUAGAUCAGAUCUGAUAGUAUCAAGCUAGAUCUAAUCAAAUCUUAGCAAGACUCGACCAGAUAUUGUCGGAUCUAGCUCAAUCUGAGCCACCACAGCGGUCUCCUCCGCUAGCCUAGUGAAGAGCAAGAAAAGAUCCAAACGACAAAGUAGAAGCCGAGAAGUAGAAGCUCAGCCCCAUCCGUGUCUUUGAGCACACGCAAUAGCCGCUCGGGCUCCUCUCCCAAGUCACCCCGAUGUCCCUCCGCUCACCCCAGCCCGACUCCUUUGACUGACCCCACCUCUCUCUCACUGCCCACACUCCUCCCGAACUCCACAGCCCACACUUCCCCCCGAACUCCCUUUCCCUCAGCUGCCGCUCACUCCCUUUCCCUUUCCCUCAGCAACAGCCCGACCCUCUCACCUCAGUCUUACCUGCCCUAAGCUCCCUUGACGCCUUCAGUUCCCUUCUAACACCUCUCAGUUCAUCCUCGCCCUCACAGCUCAGACCUCACGACUCUCUCCCUCGCUCUCCUUCUCCCCUCAGCUACUCAGACUCCCUCUUCACUCAGUUCACGCCCACAGCUUCUCUCUCCCUCUCUCAGCUGGUGACACACUGAAAAAAAAAACCUAGCCAACUCCCUCAACCGACCCUCCAGACCUCGUUCUCUCUGGCAGUUCCUCUCUUUAGCUCCUUCAUCCUCACCUCAACUCUCCCUCUCGACCUCUCUCAUUCCUCACGUCCAUGGCCCCUUCAUGAGUCACCACCCUUCUCUGUUUUCAACUUCUUCCCGUCUAUUCCCUCAGUCUCGAGCCGCAACUGCUGUGGUGCCACCUUCCCCGAGCUCUCUUGAGGAUUGGCGGCUUUUCUUUUUUUUUUUUUUUUUUGGCAGGGCGUUGUGAUGGCUAUGUGGAGAAGCUGUUGCUGAGCCGUUGCUGUGGACCUUCUUCGGGUCCCCAGGUCCUCUUAAAGCUGAGCCGCCCCGCCAUACCGCCCCCCAGCUGCUACUCAACCUCCACGUCCGCCGAGGCAUCCUUGGACAGCCCGUGUCAGCCCUAGUCGGAGCAAUUUUCGAAGCUUCUUGAUCCUUCUAACAUAAGCCCGGAAAAGGUAUUGUCUUGGACCUUUAGAAACAUGCUUAGGACCCCUAUAAUCUUAUUUGAGUGAUUGAAGGUUGCGUGUUUGCUUC